ACGUACGCUGGCGGCACGCCUAACACAUGCAAGUCGAACGAAGUAGCAAUACUUAGUGGCAGACGGGUGAGUAACAUGUAGGUAUCUGCCCUUUGGCCUGGAAUAACACGAGGAAACUUGUGCUAAUACCGGAUAAGUCUUUACGGAGAAAGCUUUAUGCACCAUUGGAUGAGCCUGCACUUGAUUAGUUUGUUGGUGGGGUAAUGGCCUACCAAGACUGUGAUCAAUAGCUGAUUUGAGAGGAUGAUCAGCCACAUUGGGACUGAGACACGGCCCAAACUCCUACGGGAGGCAGCAGUGGGGAAUCUUGCACAAUGGAGGAAACUCUGAUGCAGCGAUGCCGCGUGAGUGAAGAAGGCCUUUGGGUUGUAAAGCUCUUUCGUCGGGGAAGAAAAUGACUGUACCCGAAUAAGAAGGUCCGGCUAACUUCGUGCCAGCAGCCGCGGUAAUACGAAGGGACCUAGCGUAGUUCGGAAUUACUGGGCUUAAAGAGUUCGUAGGUGGUUGAAAAAGUUAGUGGUGAAAUCCCAGAGCUUAACUCUGGAACUGCCAUUAAAACUUUUCAGCUAGAGUAUGAUAGAGGAAAGCAGAAUUUCUAGUGUAGAGGUGAAAUUCGUAGAUAUUAGAAAGAAUACCAAUUGCGAAGGCAGCUUUCUGGAUCAUUACUGACACUGAGGAACGAAAGCAUGGGUAGCGAAGAGGAUUAGAUACCCUCGUAGUCCAUGCCGUAAACGAUGUGUGUUAGACGUUGGAAAUUUAUUUUCAGUGUCGCAGGGAAACCGAUAAACACACCGCCUGGGGAGUACGACCGCAAGGUUAAAACUCAAAUGAAUUGACGGGGACCCGCACAAGUAGUGGAGCAUGUGGUUUAAUUCGAAGAUACGCGCAGAACCUUACCAACACUUGACAUGUUCGUCGCGACUCUAAGAGAUUAGAGUUUUCGGUUCGGCCGGACGAAACACAGGUGCUGCAUGGCUGUCGUCAGCUCGUGUCGUGAGAUGUUGGGUUAAGUCCCGCAACGAGCGCAACCCUCACUUUUAGUUGCCAUCAUUAAGUUGGGCACUCUGAAAGAACUGCCAGUGAUAAGCUGGAGGAAGGUGGGGAUGACGUCAAGUCCUCAUGGCCCUUACGUGUUGGGCUACACACGUGCUACAAUGGUAUCUACAACAGGAAGCAAGACUGCGAAGUUAAGCAAAUCCCUAAAAGAUACCUCAGUUCGGAUUGCACUCUGCAACUCGAGUGCAUGAAGUUGGAAUUACUAGUAAUCGUGGAUCAGCGUGCCACGGUGAAUGCGUUCCCGGGUCUUGUACUCACCGCCCGUCAA
rnacentral:rRNA from 1 species